rnacentral:rRNA from 1 species
GUGAGGAAUAUUGGACAAUGGGCGCAAGCCUGAUCCAGCCAUGCCGCGUGCAUGAAGACGCAUCUAUGGUGUGUAAACUGCUUUUGUACGGGAAGAAACACUCCCUCGUGAGGGAGCUUGACGGUACCGUAAGAAUAAGGAUCGGCUAACUCCGUGCCAGCAGCCGCGGUAAUACGGAGGAUCCAAGCGUUAUCCGGAAUCAUUGGGUUUAAAGGGUCCGUAGGCGGUUUAAUAAGUCAGUGGUGAAAGCCCAUCGCUCAACGAUGGAACGGCCAUUGAUACUGUUAGACUUGAAUUACAAGGAAGUAACUAGAAUAUGUAGUGUAGCGGUGAAAUGCUUAGAUAUUACAUGGAAUACCAAUUGCGAAGGCAGGUUACUACUUGUGGAUUGACGCUGAUGGACGAAAGCGUGGGGAGCGAACAGGAUUAGAAACCCGUGUAGUCC